CUAUAAAUACAUUUAAAUUGGAACAUUAAUAUCCACUAUUCUUGAAUGUUUUUAUAUGGAUAAAAACUAACUAAAGUGAAUUAUUCAUGCUAAUUAAUUUGUUCGCAGUUAACAAAGUUUGUUUUUUUGUAUCUCAGUUUUAUAAUGACAGUCUAGGCAUAAUUCCUAGAACUCUCCUCAGCAUUGUUUAUCUGGAAAGUGGACAUUUCAGGAUUUGUACACAGGGAGCGUGAUGAACCAUAACUUUAAUCACUUUCUAGAAGCUGAGCAAAUUCCUAUCCUGAAGCCACUGUCUCAAAACACUGUCUGUCUGAGUGAAUCUACUGGUCAUUUCCCAGGAACCUCUUAGCAGGGACACAACUGAUUUCCCAGUUCCCAUAACCCAUUAGUGCACAUCUGGAUUGAAACCCAGGAACAUUGCUUUUUAUUUAACCCUUCAUACAGAUGUAAUUUGGCGUGCAUGUGGCUGAGUUUAAAAACAUGAUUUUUUUUAAUGUGAAUAGCUUUUCACACCCCAAACCCUCUUCACAGAGUUAAUAAUAUCAGGUGAGAGACCACAGUACUUGUUUUUAUGUAAGAAAGCCGUGUUGUAAGUCUUAGCUAGAAAACCUUGCCUGGGUCACUACUACCUCAGCUCAAACUGCCUGGAGAAAAGCUUCUUGAUUUGAGAUGGAAGAAAGGAUUAAACUCCCAUGAUAGACUUAAAAUCUAGAUCAGGCUCUCUAUCAUGAAAUCUGAUGCUGGUCAUGGGCCUAUGCACUGUGUCUGAUGUUGGCACUUGUAGACUCAACAGCUAGAACCAUAGAAGCCAGGCAACUGACUGUUUCUACUACCCCUACCUCGGCUAUGGCCAGCAGACGGCACAACUGGAUCCUUCUCUCUGGAGACUAGACACAAAAGUUACCAAGGAACUGAGCUCAAAGGAGGUCUGCUAUGGCUAGAUUGAAGACCAGACAGAGAACAAGCAUCCUUAGCUAUCCCAAAGUUCUGAGAGCCUCUAGGUCUUCCCUGGCAUUGAGCAGAGACAUGCGCACUGGUGAGAGACUACCCAACUUUGGUCUGCAUCGUUGCCUGCUUUGCAGUGGGCCUGGAAUACCCCUGGAACAGCCCUGGCAGUUGCCUUGGUUUCACGUUAGUGAUGACAUGAAUAAGACAUACAUCAGUGAAAGUUUCUGCCUGUCCCAGUUAAACACACUCAAGGCAUUUCGAUGUGCUCUGCUCUGCUCUGCCCGGGUUGCAUGUGAAUCUCCAAUUUGUUGACAUAAAAAAUUUGGAAAUUCCAGAAAAAGACUGACAACUAGGGAAUAAAGGAGCCAGCCAAUAAUUACCACCCCGACCAGAAGAAAUCACUUAUUUCUUGGGGAUUAUGUAAGUACAGCUGCAGAUCUGAGUUUCUUUCUAGGAAUAUGAUAACACAUAAUAAAUGAUACAGAGCAUGAAAAAAACGUCUCUAAAAGGUAUGGGAGCUAAGAGUCCAGACUUUCAAACACUAAUCAGCCUCAUCUUGAUUUUUUACCCUUGGUCAUCAAGUGUCUGUCUUCCCACUCACCCCCCCACACACACACACCACUCUCCCCCAUAUACACAAAAGCUCACAGCAAUAUAAAAUAACCUUGUUACAAAAACUUACAAGAAAAAUUGCAAAUACAAGGAGUCCGUUUGUAUAAUCAACUGCCAGAAAAAAAAGUUAAAAGAAUCAGCUCAUUUCUCUUUCUGUCAUAUACCAAUAUUGUCUAUGUCAAGUAGCUAUCAAAAGUAUUGGGAAUCUAUAAUACCUUAAACUGAUCCAUACAAAGGUCUUGAUGUAACAUUUCUUUUGACAUCUAAUCCAAAACUUAGUCAGAAGUUCAUGCCUCAAUGGACUACUAGAUCCAUUAUUAAGUUCUGUCAGUAAAGAAUCAAUCACUGAUAAGAACAUUCCCUAUUUUGUUUUAUUUUUCUCUAUCUCUUUUGUGCAAAAGCAUUAAGAAAAUGCAAGUGCUUAAAUCAGUCUUUCAAAAAGUGAAGCAUGUCUAAUGGGAAUUAAACCAUUCAGUAUGGUCAAAAAUUAACACAAACAUCUUGCAUACUAUUUCUAUUUUAGGAGUUUGGUGGGGAGGGGACUCAGUUUAUACUCUGUGUAUAAAGACAGAUAAGUACUUUAUUUGUAUGCUUUUACAUGAUGAUUUCCUUCCAUUUCAGUUAUAGUGACAGCCUAUGUAUAGUGCACAGCGCAUGCAUGUUACAGAUAAAAAUGGGUCCUGUCUAAAAGUUCCAUACCUUUCUCUUUCUGUUACAAAGAUUUACUUUCAUAAUUGUCAAUAGUUGAAGUGAUGCCUUCUGUGAUCAUCUAUUCUUAUUAUAAAAUCUCAGACUCUGGAAGAAUUUUUCUACAUUGAGCUUGUCAAAGCCCUAGAAUAUUGGUUUGACUCUUACAAAGUCAAGACAUUCAGAUUGUUUAUUGCAGGUGGGACCUUAUGUGUAGAUAAAGACAGGUGUCAUAACAUCUUUUGACUGUGAGAUAUUGAAAGGAUGAUUGAAUUUUUAUGUUAACUAUUCACCUAUAACUUUUAGAAAAAGCUAACAUGUUUUAAGAAGGUAUGAUUAAUGUUGAUACAUGUAUAUAUAGUUAAAUGAAAAAUAUGCAAAAAUGUUUUAUGACUUAAACAUGAUGAGACUGUUGCUAUCUAUUUAUCAUUUAUCUAUCUAUCUAUCUAUCUAUCUAUCUAUCUAUCUAUCUAUCUAUCUAUCUAUCCAUCUUUCCCUAGGGGAGAAUCUGUAUACUGUAAAUUCAAUACGUGUGAAAAUGACAAGAGAAUUAAAAUGUGUUCAAUUCUUAUAACAAAUCAUGUCUGAGCUAACAUUGUCAUUUUACAGAUGGGUCAUAAUGAGGGUGAAAUGCUUUGUGACAUUGAAAUACACAGUGACUGAUCUAGUUUCUGGCAUAAAUGUCACAUUGAAUGGGUCUCAAGUAUAUUGUAGAGUGGGUGGGGAGUAACCUCUAGAAAGUCUAAGAGAUGUGGACUGGGAGGCUCCUAGGACUCCAUGUGGGUAACCUUAGUCAAAAUGCUCAACAGUGGGGAGAUGGAACCU
rnacentral:sRNA from 1 species